rnacentral:lncRNA from 1 species
CCUGGCCAUACAUUUUAAGAAGAGUUCUGCAAACAGCCCCGACCAUUCUCUCAACCUGCCCGAGAGCUUUGAGCUCCCUUUCCUUCACCCAUUCUCUAGCAGGAAGGUAUUAUAUAACCAGACCUGAAGUUUAACACAGCCAGGUAUGUGACUGAACUUCAGGCUUGAGAGUUUGUGCACCACAGCCCUAGAGCUCCUCCAACAGAGGUGGGUACCGUGGGAAGUUUGCUGGGAAGACUCCGGUCAGCUGAUGAGUGGUUUUAGGCAGUGAGUGGAACAGACUGUUUCCAACACACAGCGGAGCCCACUCAAGCCUCAGGAAUGUUAUAACCUUUCCUCACCGGAAGUCAGGUGUUUGUCUAGCUUGACCCAGGUCAAGGCGUGCUUGGACUGAAUAGAGCCAGUCUUUUCCCCCAGCUGAGCCUAUCUGUUUUGACCCAGUCAGGGCCAGGAGUCACAGGAGAUACAGGCUGGAGGUUAAUAAUAGUGGUAGAAGGUAGAUUUCUUGUGCAAUUUGCAUUCAAUGAAGAGCCAGAAAAAGUGACUUGAUUAAUAGGAUAUCAACAUGGGUCGUGGGGAGCCAAUACCCCAGUACUUUGGAUAGAAAGCCUAUGGUUCUGAACUGAAGGAUUCUGAUGCUUUCUUCAUCAAACAGUGAGCAAUGCCAGGCACAAUUCUAAGGGCCUUACAUGUGUUAAGUCCUUCAAUCCUCACUAUUCUGUGAGGUAGGUUCUGUUAUUAUCCUUCUUUGUAUAAGCACAGAGAGGUUAACUAACUUGGUUAAAUUUCCAUGCCUAUUUAGUGAUGACUUUGCUGAAUUCAGGUUCUAGAACCUGUGAUGCUAUCCACCUUACUAGACUGCUUCUUUAAAGUUAAAUAAGGGCCUCACUCUGAAGUCACUAAUUGAGCUGUGAAAAGCAGUUUCAUUCAAGCUAGUAUUUCAUAAAGCAAGGCAGAAUGACUUUGCAAAGAACACAGGCCAAGAAACCAGAAAUUGGGACCCAAGCAUGGCCACCCACCUGAAUUCCACUCAGAUCAAUGCUCCUCUGGUUGUUUGACUUCCCGGACUUCCCUCCCCUAAGGGCACAGAGCUCUCACCAAACCUGAGAUUUCACACACAAGCGGCCUGCUUAGCAGGUACCAUCUCCACCAAAACACACAUUUGAAGAGCUGUAACCUCAGCUCCAUCUUCCUGGUAUCCUUCCUCCUUAACCUUAGAAGGUACAAAGAGGAGGGCCAGGCACAAUGGCUCAUGCUGGUAAUCCCAGCACUUUGGGAGGCCAAGGUGGGCAGAUCCCUUGAGUCCAGGAGUUCGAGACCAGCCUGGGCACAUGGUGAAAACCCAUCUCUAUAAAAAAUACAGAAAUUAGCUGGGUGCGGUGGCACAUGGCUGUAGUCCCAGCUACUUGGCAGGUAGCUGAAGUGGGAGGAUCACUUGAGCCUGGGAGGUUGAGGCUGCGGUGAGCCAAGAUUGAGCCACUGCACUCCAGCCUGGGUGACAAAGAAAGACCCUGUCGAAGAAGAAGAAGCAGCAGCAGCAGAAAAAGAAGAAGAAGAAGAAGCAGAAGAAGCAGAAGAAGAAGCAGAAGAAGAAGAAGCAGAAGAAGAAGAAGAAGAAACAAAGGGGAGGAUGCAACUUGGAGAGGCCCAGCCCCUAGGAGAAAGCCUAACUGCAGUAAAGGAGUCCUGGAGACAGGACAAGAAUGAAGUCAAUGAAGCAUAGCAGGAGUGGAGAUAAAGACGCGCAUGAAAUUUGGUGCUGUGACUCGGAUUGGGGGACCUCCCUUGGGAGAUCAAUCCCCUGUACUCCUGUUCUUUGCUCCGUGAGAAAGAUCCACCUAUGAUCUCAGGUCCUCAGACCGACCAGCCCAAGGAACAUCUCACCAAUUUUAAAUCAGACCCACCUGACCUCUCCCUUCCUCCCAGGCUGCUCCUCGCCAGGCCGAGCUAGGUCCCAAUUCUUCCUCAGCCUCUGCUCCUCCACCCUAUAAUCCUUUUAUCACCUCCCCUCCUCACACCUGGUCCGGCUUACAGUUUCGUUCCGUGACUAGCCCUCCCCCACCUGCCCAGCAAUUUACUCUUAAAAAGGUGGCUGGAGCUAAAGGCAUAGUCAAGGUUAAUGCUCCUUUCUCUUUAUCCCAAAUCAGAAGCGUUUAGGCUCUUUUUCAUCAAAUAUAAAAAUCCAGCCCAGUUCAUGGCUCGUUCGGCAGCAACCCUGAGACACUUUACAGCCCUAGACCCUAAAAGGUCAAAAGGCCGUCUUAUUCUCAAAAUACAUUUUAUUACCCAAUCUGCUCCCAACAUUAAAUAAAACUCCAAAAAUUAAAUUCCGGCCCUCAAACCCCACAACAGGAUUUAAUUAACCUCGCCUUCAAGGUGUACCAUAAUAGAAAAAAGUUGCAAUUCCUUGCCUCCACUGUGAGACAAACCCCAGCCACAUCUCCAGCACACAAGAACUUCCAAACGCCUGAACCGCAGCGGCCAGGUGUUCCCCCAGAACCUCCUCCCCCAGGAGCUUGCUACACGUGCCGGAAAUCUGGCCACUGGGCCAAGGAAUGCCCGCAGCCCGGGAUUCCUCCUAAGCCGCGUCCCAUCUGUGCGGGACCCCACUGGAAAUCGGACUGUUCGACUCACCUGGCAGCCACUCCCAGAGCCCCUGGAACUCUGGCCCAAGGCUCUCUGACUGACUCCUUCCCAGAUCUUCUCGGCUUAGCGGCUGAAGACUGACGCUGCCCGAUCGCCUCAGAAGCCCCCUAGACCAUCACCGACGCUGAGCUUCGGGUAACUCUCACAGUGGAAGGUAAGCCCGUCCCCUUCUUAAUCAAUACGGAGGCUGAGUAGCCUCCACAUUACCCUCUUUUCAAGGGCCUGUUUCCCUUGCCUCCAUAACUGUUGUGGGUAUUGACGGCCAGGCUUCUAAACCUCUUAAAACUCCCCAACUCUGGUGCCAACUUAGACAAUACUCUUUUAAGCACUCCUUUUUAGUUAUCCCCACCUGCCCAGUUCCCUUAUUAGGCUGAGACACUUUAACUAAAUUAUCUGCUUCCCUGACUAUUCCUGGACUACAGCUGUAUCUCAUUGCCGCCCUUCCUCCCAAUCCAAAGCCUCCUUUGCGUCCUCCUCUUGUAUCCCCCCACCUUAACCCACAAGUAUAAGAUACCUCUACUCCCUCCUUGGCGACCGAUCAUGCACCCCUUACCAUCUCAUUAAAACCUAAUCACUCUUACCCCACUCAACUUAAAGUGCCAAUAUCCCAUCCCGCAGCAUGCUUUAAAAAGAUUAAAGCCUGUUAUCACUCGCGUGCUACAGCAUGGCGUUUUAAAGCCUACAAACUCUCCUUACAAUUCCCCCAUUUUACCUGUCCUAAAACCAGACAAGCCUUACAAGUUAGUUCAGGAUCUGCGCCUUAUCAACCACAUUGUUUUGUUGCCUAUCCACCCCAUGGUGCCAAACCCAUAUACUCUCCUAUCCUCAAUACCUGCCUCUACAACCCAUUAUUCUGUUCUGGAUCUCAAACAUGCUUUCUUUACUAUUCCUUUGCACCCGUCAUCCCAGCCUCUCUUCGCUUUCACUUGGACUGACCCUGACACCCAUCAAGCUCAGCAAAUUACCUAGGCUGUACAGCCGCAAAGCUUCACAGACAGCCCCCAUUACUUGAAUCAAGCCCAAAUUUCUUUUUCAUCUGUUACCUAUCUCGGCAUAAUUCUCAUAAAAGCACACGUGCUCUCCCUGCCAAUCGUGUCCGACUGAUCUCUCAAACCCAAGCACCUUCUACAAAACAACUCCUUUCCUUCCUAGGCAUGGUUAGCUCAGUCAGAAUUCUCACACAAGAGCCAGGACCACACCCUGUAGCCUUUCUGUCCAAACAACUUGACCUUACUGUUUUAGCCUAGCCCUCAUGUCUGCGUGCAGUGGCUGCCGCUGCUUUAAUACUUUUAGAGGCCCUCAAAAUAGGUAGAGGCCUUUCCUGCAGGGUCUGAGAAGGCCACCGCAGUCAUUUCUUCCAUUCUGUCAGACAUAAUUCCUCAGUUUAGCCUUCCCACCUCAAUACAGUCUGAUAACAGACGAGCCUUUAUUAGUCAAAUCAGCCAAGCAGUUUUUCAGGCUCUUAGUAUUCAGUGAAAGCUUUAUAUCCCUUACGGUCCUCCGUCUUCAAGAAAAGUAGAAUGGACUAAAGGUCUUUUAAAAACACACCUCACCAAGCUCAGCCACCAACUUAAAAAGGACUGGACAAUACUUUUACCACUUUCCCUUCUCAGAAUUCAGGCCUAUCCUCAGAAUGCUACAGGGUACAGCCCAUUUAAGCUCCUGUAUAGACGCUCCUUUUUAUUAGGCCCCAGUCUCAUUCCAGACACCAGACCAACUUAGACUGUGCCUCAAAGAAAAAAAAAAAUUGUCAUCCCUACUAUUUUCUGUCUGGUCAUACUCCUAUUCACCGUUCUCAACUACUCAUACAUGCCCUGCUCUUGUUUACACUGCCAGUUUACACUGUUUUUCCAAGCCAUCACAGCUGAUAUCUCCUGGUGCUAUCCCCAAACUGCCACUCUUAACUCUUGAAGUAAAUAAAUCAUCUUUGCUGGCAGGACUAUGCUGAAUCUCCUUAGGCACUCUCUAAUCAGACAUCCUGAGUCGUCCCAAUUCUUAGACCUUUUAUACCUGUUUUUCUCCUUCUGUUAUUCCAUUUAGUUUUUCAAUUCAUACAAAACCGUAUCCAGGCCAUCACCAAUCAUUCUAUAUGACAAAUGUUUCUUCUAACAUCCCCACAAUCUCACCCCUUACCACAAG